rnacentral:rRNA from 1 species
UACGGAGGGUGCUAGCGUUGUUCGGAAUUACUGGGCGUAAAGCGCGCGUAGGCGGCUUUGUAAGUUAGAGGUGAAAGCCCGGGGCUCAACCCCGGAACAGCCUUUAAGACUGCAUCGCUAGAAUCCGGGAGAGGCGAGUGGAAUUCCGAGUGUAGAGGUGAAAUUCGUAGAUAUUCGGAAGAACACCAGUGGCGAAGGCGGCUCACUGGACCGGCAUUGACGCUGAGGUGCGAAAGCGUGGGGAGCAAACAGG